AACGAACGCUGGCGGCGUGCCUAACACAUGCAAGUCGAGCGGGAAAGUUCCCUUCGGGGAGCGAGUACAGCGGCGAACGGGUGAGUAACACGUAGGCAACCUACCCCGGAGACCGGGAUAACCUGUCGAAAGGCGGGCUAAUACCGGAUAAGACCACGAGGGCCUCGGCCCUUGAGGUAAAGGUGGCCUCUGCUUGCAAGCUAUCACUCCAGGAUGGGCCUGCGCGCCAUUAGCUAGNGGUGAGGUAACGGCUCACCAAGGCGAAGAUGGCUAGCUGGUCUGGGAGGAUGGCCAGCCACACUGGGACUGAGAUACGGCCCAGACUCCUACGGGAGGCCAGCGAGUGGGGGAAUCGUUGCGCAAUGGGCGAAAGCCUGACGCAGCGACGCCGCGUGGGUGAUGAA
rnacentral:rRNA from 1 species